GUCUCUGAUGAUGAUCAAUUGUAAAACUUUCGUUCUGCUGAGAAUCUUUCGGUGCGGAAAUGCUUUUGGAGACCUGAACUGAAGAGAC